GCGUGUAGCUCAGUCGGUAGAGCACUUGACUUUUAAUCAAGUUGUCCCGGGUUCGAAUCCCGGCAC
rnacentral:tRNA from 3 species